rnacentral:tRNA from 1 species
GCCCUAGUAGCUUAGACUCAAAGCACCGGUCUUGUAAUCCGGAGACCGAGGACUAAACCCCCUCCUAGCGCC